GGUGUAUCUAAAGGGGAGACAGUCGGUCUCCAGCAGCAGAGCGGUGUAGUUAAAGGGGAGACAGUCGGUCACCCCCUCCAACAACCAGGCUUCAACCAGGCUACCCUCCCAGUAGCGCUGGCAACAGGGCAGAGUGCCGCUGGUCUCUGCCCACGCAGCAACCCACCCAGUCAGCGUACCCGUACCCAGCACAGCUGUGGUGAGGCUCCUGGACAUGGACAAGCUUCUCCUUUACCCAGGUGUAGUAACCAUUUAUUGUGGGUGGGCUGUGCUGUUGAUUAUGUUUUGUGGGUGGGCUGCUGGACUAACAAGUGCACUGACCGGCAGGAGGUCAGAUACCCUGUUAGUCUGUUUGGAAAAGGGGAGAGAUGUGACGAGACCAAUCUCGCCACAUUGCAUUGGAGAAGACUGGUUGCUCGACUGCUGCCUUUGGACUAUGGCCCCCUGUUAAAAGACAUCUUUUUUUACCUGCAGAAAAGCUUCAUUCGUGCUUUUCUGCCUGGGGUUCGGUAGAUUUGUUUGAAUGUGUUAUACCCCAGAUAAGAAUCCCAUGGAGCCCAUUCGUAUGAAACUGACUGUAAAGACUUUGGCUCCAUGGCGAUUAAACUGUAUUCGUGUGGUCUGAGCGCCAUUCGCUUAAUAAUGUGCGCUCAGACCUGAGCUAUCUGGGGAUAUGUUAAAUGUCUGUGUGUUAUGUGUAAAAGGUGACUUUAUGCAUUUUAAAGUGUUUUACUGUCUUUGUGUCACCAUGUGCAUAAUGGAGUCUUGUCCCUGUCCUGGGAGAUAAUUGAAUUACUUCUCACUUAUCUCCAGGGCAGAGGAGAGGAAGCCAGGAUGCAUUGUGGUAAAAGGUAUGUGUAUUGGGUUACCUCUCAGGAUAAGGGGGAGGGAAUCUGUGGGUUGUAACUAAUAUGUUACUGGAUAUUUUAUACCUCCCUGUGGGCGGUCCUGUAUUUGCAAUACUGUAAUAAAAACCAGGCUGGGUGUGCCAGCACCUCAGACCACUGCUUGACCCUCAACACGGAACCUUGUCUCAUUCUUGGGGGGAUUCACUGUAUGCUGUUAGAGAC